GGAGAAGCCAGCACUGUGGGACCUGGGUCAAGCUGUCUGUCCACUUGCUCUAGGCUGAAGGCCCAUGUCCCCCAAAUUUGUAUGUUGACUCCUAAGCCCCGGGCAAGGGCCUUGGGAGGUGAGGCCUUCAGAGGGAGAUGGGGCCAUGACAGCAGGGCCUUCCUGUGUGGGAAAGAGACCCAGAGAGAUUCACGCCUCUUCCACCACCGGAGGACACAGCAAGAAGCCGUCAUCUAUGAACAGGAACGGGCCUUGCCAGGUGCUGAGCCUGCCCAUGCCCGGACUUUGGACUCCCAGCCUCCAGAGCUGUGAGGAGUCACUUCUGUGGUCUCUACGCCUCCUGUGGCAGCAGCCCCGAGCACACCAUCCCACCUCUCCAGCCACUGUAAGGUGCAGACAGAGGCGCCUUCCCCAGGGACACCCCCAGGACCUGAAGGGGCACUGGCAGAGAAGGCACGGGCUCAGGCAGCCCCGUCAACCCUACCUUGGGGUGCUGUCCCCCGACCUCCCUCCUCCCUUCCCCCUCACAGCCCUCCUUGAGACCCACACUCCCCCUACAAGAGUUAGCCACUUGGGGGAGGGGUCACAGGUGGUGAAGGUAAAGUGACAUGUGACCAGCCACUUCAUCCUGGCUGUGCAGAGGGUGGUGAAGGAAAGCUCGGGCGAGGGGAGCACCCAGCAGCAUGGGGCAGGGCAGGCUUCGCAGGCAGAAAGUGGGUCAGUGUGCCCUGCAGAGGCAAGAGGCCGGCCGUGAGCGAGGACAGGUGGGGACAGGUGGCAAUUCAGAGAUGCAGCACCCGGGCCAGUGGACCCGGCCACAGCACUCCUCGAGUGCUCGUCCAGUCUCCAUUUUGCAAUGAAAGCAAAGGAGAGCCAGCCUGCACCCCCG
rnacentral:lncRNA from 1 species